rnacentral:rRNA from 1 species
GUGAGGAAUAUUGCGCAAUGGAGGCAACUCUGACGCAGCCAUGCCGCGUGCAGGAAGAAGGCGCUACGCGUUGUAAACUGCUUUUAACCGGGAAGAAACCCCAGGACGUGUCCUGGGUUGACGGUACCGGAGGAAUAAGCACCGGCUAACUUCGUGCCAGCAGCCGCGGUAAUACGAAGGGUGCAAGCGUUAUCCGGAUUCAUUGGGUUUAAAGGGUGCGUAGGCGGAGCGUUAAGUCAGUGGUGAAAUCCUGCAGCUUAACUGUAGACUUGCCAUUGAUACUGGCGCUCUUGAGUGCGCUUGAAGUGGGCGGAAUGUGCCGUGUAGCGGUGAAAUGCUUUGAUAUGGCACAGAACACCAAUUGAGAAGGCAGCUCACUAAGGCGAUACUGACGCUGAGGCACGAAAGCGUGGGGAUCGAACAGGAUUAGAAACCCCUGUAGUCC